GUCCCCAUAGCUCAACGGAUAGAGCUCCUGCCUUCUAAGCAGGCAAUACAGGUUCGAUUCCUGUUGGGGACA
rnacentral:tRNA from 2 species